rnacentral:rRNA from 1 species
AACGAACGCUGGCGGCAUGCCUAACACAUGCAAGUCGAACGAACCCUUCGGGGUUAGUGGCGCACGGGUGCGUAACGCGUGGGAAUCUGCCCUUUGCUUCGGAAUAACAGUUAGAAAUGACUGCUAAUACCGGAUGAUGUCUUCGGACCAAAGAUUUAUCGGCAAAGGAUGAACCCGCGUAGGAUUAGGUAGUUGGUGGGGUAAAGGCCUACCAAGCCGACGAUCCUUAGCUGGUCUGAGAGGAUGAUCAGCCACACUGGGACUGAGACACGGCCCAGACUCUACGGGAGGCAGCAGUGGGGAAUAUUGGACAAUGGGCGCAAGCCUGAUCCAGCAAUGCCGCGUGAGUGAUGAAGGCCUUCGGGUCGUAAAGCUC